rnacentral:rRNA from 1 species
GGUGAACGCUGGCGGCGUGCCUAAUACAUGCAAGUCUAGCGAACAGACGAGGAGCUUGCUCCUCUGACGUUAGCGGCGGACGGGUGAGUAACACGUGUAUAACCUACCUAUAAGACUGGGUUAACUUCGGGAAACCGGCGCUAAUACCGGAUAAUAUAUUGAACCGCAUGGUUCAAUAGUGAAAGACGGUUUUGCUGUCACUUAUAGAUGGAUCCGCGCCGCAUUAGCUAGUUUGUAAGGUAACGGCUUACCAAGGCAACGAUGCGUAGCCGACCUGAGAGGGUGAUCGGCCACACUGGAACUGAGACACGGUCCAGACUCCUACGGGAGGCAGCAGUAGGGAAUCUUCCGCAAUGGGCGAAAGCCUGACGGAGCAACGCCGCGUGAGUGAUGAAGGUCUUCGGAUCGUAAAACUCUGUUAUUAGGGAAGAACAAAUGUGUAAGUAACUAUGCACGUCUUGACGGUACCUAAUCAGAAAGCCACGGCUAACUACGUG